ensembl:processed_transcript Gm36241 predicted gene, 36241
GUUUGUCUUUUUCAGCCACGAAGCUUGCAGCUUGAUGUCGGUGUCUGAUGGAAGACAUAAAGAGUCGGGGUUUCCAUAGGUACCUUGGUUGGACUGAAGAUGAUUUAACAACUAUAAUUGCACUCAAAUAGCUCAGUUCCUUCCUCUGAGGCAAGUUCUAGACCCUACUACUUUCUGCAAAGCCAAGUUGCUCAGAAAGUGCCUGUAAUCGGUGAUGAGCAGCCUCCAGUGGGCUCUGGAAGAAAGCAAAAUUUAGCUUCUGAAGACUUCAAAUUAAUCAAGACUUCAGCCCACCAUCGAUCAGAGGGACUUGCUGUGUGUGUAUGUUUCUCCCAGCACCCAGCACAGAGGCACAAAGGCACAAAAGCACAGAGGCCCCACAGUGCUUAAUGAGGUUUCUGAAAGAAAUGGCAAUGCAAUUUUUAAUGUGUGUUUGGAUUUGAGGAUUUGGGUCUUCUUCCUUCUCCUUCCUCUUCUUCCUCCUCUUUCUCUUCCUCCUCUUCCUGGGAAUAAGAAGAAGAUAUACAUCAUGGCUAGAAUAAUUUGGCAUGGAAAAAUUGGCUGGAAACAGUGACACAUAGAAAAAUUGUCUAUUGUACCAACUGCUACCAUCAAAGUCACCCUUUGGUCAAGAUGAAGAAGUGCUGGAAGUUUUGAGGCGCCAUC